rnacentral:misc_RNA from 1 species
CUCAAUUCAACACCUUUAGCUUCCAUUCAUAGCCAUAGUAAAAACUUCAAUGGCAGUUACAAUCAAAUCACAAUAUUAUCUUGUAUAAAGAAAAGUUCAUCUAUAAAAUUGUGAGGUCUCCAAUUUAAAUCCCAAUAGAUUACAAAUGAUACAGUCCAUUGUCACUAUUCCAGCCAAGCAAAAACUAACAGAGGGAAGGAAAUUUCUGUCCUAAGAUCAGGCUCAAAAUGAUUCCCCCUUUCUUAUUUUAAGCUUUUUUUUAAUCGUGGAAGAAAAUUGAAUUUUACAGUAAAAAAAUUCGGCACAAAAGAAUCCUGCUCCAAGAAAAGGAUUAGAAAAUGCACUAGAUACCGUCAUACCCCAUUGUUUCUACAGAUAUUCGCUCCCUUUUCAUACCAUGAUGCUCAAAAUUUUGACGAUUCUCAAAAGGUAUAGUCCACUUAGCUUUCUGUCUGUCUUGCAUUACUGCAACCAACAUUUUAAUCAAUGUAAUUAAACUUUUGCUGCAUACACAUGAAGCAUAAGGAUUUCAAUUUAUUCAACAUAGGCAUCAGGACAAACAACAAAUUAUUUUUCCUCUCAUUUAAAUGUGAAUAAAGACUGGUAGUAUCAGAGUGGUUAGUUCAACCAUCCUUUGGAAGAUUAACUUCUCUCAGAACUUUUGCUGCAUCUUCAGGGAAAACAGGAUUUAUGUAACAACCAGUUCCGAUUUCAAACCCUCCCACACCAGUCAAUUGAGGCACUAUCUGUAAAAACCAGUGAGUAUAAGGUAAUUGUGAUUCUUUAACCCGAAGUGGAGCUGUCUGGAUCAUGAAAUUGAAUGGUGGGUUAUUCAAUUGCACAGACAUCUUUCUAAGCAUGAGCUUUAGCAAACCCCCAAGAUCAACAGCCUUCUCACAACCUAAUUCAUGGAAAUGAGAACAGUGAUCCCGAGGAAUGAUCCAUAUCUCAAAUGGAAACGUGGCAGCAAAAGGAACAAUUGAGAUAAAAUGAGUUGACUCAUCAAUUAAAAGCUUUUCGAUGUGAACUACACAGAGACAACAUUUCCCUGUCUUAUCGAAGUACUCCUUUGUACCAUCAAGUCGAGCGGAAACGGCAGGAGGUACGAUGGGGAGAGCAAUUAUCUGACUGUGAGAGUGACUCAAUGAUGCCCCAGCAGAAGCACCAUGGUUCUUGAACACCUGCACGUAUUUGAUGGAUUCACAGCUCAUAAUCUGCUCAAUCCUCUUCUUAUACGCGAGCAAAACAUUGCCAAUCUCUCUCGUUUCCAUAUCCCGAAGCUGGACCGAAUGAAACGGAACCUCUAUCACCACAUCGUGGAAACCAAACCCGUUUAAUAUCCGACCCGGACAAUCCAAUCCAAGGCUUUGCUCGGAUGGGUUAUCAAGGUUUCUGCUCAACGCCGGGUAAAGAUUCUCGAUGACCCGGAUCUUCCAUUCUGGGUUUCCCGGGUCGGGUGCAUCCCGAAAGAUUUCGGGGGCACACUCAUGCUCGUUGCCGAUGCAGAAAGGGCAGGAAUUGUUGCUAGGAUUAGGGUUUUCAGGGAUUUUGGAUUUGAAAUCAGUGGGUCGUUUGGCUCGGGCGGGUGAGAAAACGACCCACCGGUUAGUGACAGGAUCGUGCCUGAGUUCAGGGCUCCGUGUUUGAGCGGGCGCUGGUGAUGCCAUGUUUCCGUUGUCUUUUGUUUGGAUCUUGACGGCCGCUUCUUGUGAUGAGACCCGCUUGCUCUUUGAUGGUUACAAGUUAUGGUCUGGUUAUAGCGUAGUUAAAAGGCAAAUUAUGUCUUUGGGCCACUGAAGUUUGAGGAAUUGAAUUCUAUGCCCGUACCUUACAAUU